CCUACGGGAGGCAGCAGUAAGGAAUAUUGGUCAAUGGACGCAAGUCUGAACCAGCCAUGGCGCGUGAAGGAUUAAGGUCCUCUGGAUUGUAAACUUCUUUUAUCUGGGACGAAAAAAGGCGAUUGUUUGUCACUUGACGGUACCAGAUGAAUAAGCACCGGCUAACUCCGUGCCAGCAGCCGCGGUAAUACGGAGGGUGCAAGCGUUAUCCGGAUUCACUGGGUUUAAAGGGUGCGUAGGCGGGCAGGUAAGUCAGUGGUGAAAUCCUGGAGCUUAACUCCAGAACAGCCAUUGAUACUAUCUGUCUUGAAUAUUGUGGAGGUAAGCGGAAUAUGUCACGUAGCGGUGAAAUGCUUAGAUAUGACAUAGAACACCUAUUGGGAAGGCAGCUUACUACCCAUAUAUGGAGGUGGAGGCAGGAAAGCCUGGGG
rnacentral:rRNA from 1 species